ensembl:lncRNA
GACAGAACGACAAAAGCUGGGAAACCCCACUGAAGAAACCGGUAGUGCUAUAUAUAUAUAUAUGCUGUUCGUUUAUGUUUCUUUAUCUGUUAGUCGCAGCUUUUAGUUUUCACAGGUUACUCGCGGAGAUCGAAUUAGGCAAUAAUUGUACAGUGGAUCAUCUGACUCCAUUACGAAUCAUUAUCUUAUAUCAAACUCUUUUACAAGAAUUCAUGUGGAAUUUUAAAUGAUUUCGAGGAUCUCUGUGGACAUCAGAUACGUUGGAAUCUUGUUGUGGAUCCUCUGACCUGAUGAGUAAUCAUUAUCUUAUCUAAAAAAAUAACUGUAACAAGGACAGAUUCGAAGGCUCAAAGAGAUUCCUGACCACUCCGGCUUCGCAAUCUACACUCGUUUGUGUCCCGACACGUGCAUUUUGUUCUCUUGUCUUACUCUACAGGUCUUAUUGUUUCUUCUGACAACUUAUAUUUAAGACAGAGAGAUCAAGCUCGUCAUUAACACCGACGUGUACAUUCGGGUAGGUGUUCAUUGUGUUACUUUAAACGUUAACGAGGAACUUAACCAUCUGGCUAACUUUUUUUUUUUAGAUAGCUAACUGCUUAGCUAGCGAUUUGAUUAGCUAUUACUACUACGGGCACAGCAGUUUUGCGUGGAGAGUCAGCCGGAGUGUCAUUUCUGUAUCAAUUCAUUGAUGCAUAGCAAUACAAGUAAGCUAAGCUUAGCAAAACGUUCGUCCUUUAUUUUUCAUAGGAAUCUACUCUUAUCGCUCUAGGAAACCGCUUGCCGACAAUUUGAGUCCCGGAGUUACUUUCGUUUCGUUUUAGUAAACAACUUUAGUGAAUGCGUCAACUAUAAACUUGUAUUAGUAUAGUAAUAUUAUGCUUAUGGUAAGCUACUGUACUAGCCUCAUUUAAAAACUUUUAACCUACACUACAUGUAUAGGGUCACUGGAUGUUUCGUAGUAUUAUGCGUUAAAUUACGAAUUACAGACGUAAUUUUACAGACAGACGUGAAGGAGUAGUCUUCAGGCAGGUAGCUUCUAAGCUUAAAAGUUAUUGUGUACUGUCCUGGCUUUGUGGCAAAAAUCUAUCGCACAUAAUUCAGAACAGGCAAAUGUAUACAUAAUUUGGGACCAAGGUGCAAACUUUACUGACAGCACGAGCGGGAAGACGUUUUGUUCAGUGGAUGCUGAGAGGCCGAGUGUGGGACGGUAUGAAACAGAUCUGGAAUUGACAGACGAAGCGUGUCUGUUCGCUGCAUUAUCGUUUGUGAAAAUUUGGUAAAUAUAUAUAUGGGUGACCUGUUGACAAAACACGGACGGAGGUCAUUUACAACAUCCAAGAUGCGCUAAUGUCAGCCUGCAGUGAGAAAUCUUAUCAAUUUCUAAAUCAGCUGUUGAAUACAUUAAUUUUUUUGCCGUGAACUAGAGAUAUUUAUCAGAUACCGAAAUAUAUACCCAAACCGAACGGUUAGUGGAAUUCCAAUCCGGCACCUACAAUAUCCUUUCGUUUUUUGUAAAAACAAUAUCGAUUCAGACCGGGGUAGGUAAUAUUUAAAUUUAAGUUGUGUCGGAUAUGCAUAGGACUCAAAUAUUAGAAUGACACCUGCUAGCAGAAGAUGCCUGUUUUAACCUGCGACUCUGAACGUUGAACCACAUCCCAACAUCUACAGACCGAAAUAUUGUCAUCCAUUCUUUAGAAUGUCGAAGAUAUAUUAAGAAGAUAUUAUUGCGCUCAUCCUUUCACAUCCUUUCUCCAAAUUGCACUCUAUUUUGCUUGUGGUAAAUAGAUAACAAAAGCAGAAGACAGGCAACAUUUGUCCAAGUGAAUAAACUUUAAACAUCACGUUUCUUUCAUCCUAUAACCGUUUCUUCUUGAGGAUAAACCUCGUGGAGGAUUGGUGUUGAAUUCACCUGUUUUACCCGCCUGGGAAAUGUACUGAUGUAGGCUUACUGUUCAACAUGUCUAUGUGUGGAAUAUUAAAAACACUCAAGGGAAUAUCAGCCUGUUCCCAAGCUAGCUUGUUUUGAUUGACUAAAGAAAACGUAAUUUUUCCAAAGCUAUUCAGGUCUUUUACUGCUAAUUCUGCACCAUCAUUAUUACAGGGAAUCCUUUUUAUUAAAUUUUUUAAGUUAGUUGUUUUCUGACAGUUGUUCUUUGGUAGGUUUCUACACUGUCUUUCUUCCAUAUAAAGCAUUUCUUAAAAUAAUGCAGUUUGCCUCGUGGUUGAGUACUGCUUGUUUGAGGUAGGUUGUGUUUUUUCUGUGUUCUGAAAGCGUUGUGCAGACAGUGAAUGCUCUGAGAGCCUCUGAGGUAGGUUGUGUUUUUUCUGUGUUCUGAUAGCGUUGUGCAGACAUUGAAUGCUCUGAGAGCCUCUGGGUUGAGGUCAGUGAUGACAUAUUCUACAUUUCUGCUGCCAAGGAUGAGUUGUAGGUUGUAUCCACUGUAUGAGUCCCCUUGAACCCUGAUGGAAACAUUUGACUCCCAUAUAAUAAAUAAUAUGUAUAAUACAAGUGUUAAUUCACUGUGGGUACAAGAGUUUCAGACCACUGUGAUAAGUGCAACACUUUAGAGGCUUGCCUUUAUAAUCGAGGCUACUACCUGUUUGCGCUAAUGAGGGCUUGAGGGACGUUCAUAACGUGUCUCAAACACAUCAUUAUUGGGGGAGGGUGUUCUACCGCUGAGUGAACUGUCUCUCUCCUUAGUUAUUUUUAGUUUUUUUUUUUUUAGGCUUUGUUUGACGGUAGGAAUCAGGGAGAUGGGUGAAGUGGAGGAGGGUGGAAAUGGGUAUCGAACCCCGCUCUCUGACGAGGAGACACCUUUUUGCGUUGAGCCGGGAGUGUCACCAUUGGGGGCCUAGAGGGCCGCACAAAACCCCCUAUUUUCAACCACAGAAUGGACACAUGGCCACAGAUGGGAGCAGAGUCGAGAUUAACGUGUGCUCACGCCUCCUGUUGUUUCAGACGGAACCUGAAACAGUGGAUUCCAACUCCACCAUUACUCGCCACGUGUAAUGCACGUUUGUUUUGGUCCCGGAUAAACAUACCAAUUCCCAUCUAAUUUACACGGCCUGCUGAUAUGUUCACAGGUUGAACAGGUGUUUUUGUGUUGAGGAAGAAAUUCGCCAGAGAGGGAGAUGUUGGAUAUUAUGCCUUUGCCCAGCCUAGAACAAGGCAGUACUGUGGUGAAAGAAUACCAAGAGAUUCUGGUCAACAACAAUGUAAACUGUGUGUGUCUGUCUGUCUGUGUGUGUGUGUGGAAGACAGCUGGUGCGUCCCGUUAUUCUCUUAUCUGUGCUCCUACUCCCAUGGUCUGUAAGAGUGAAUGGUAUUUUUAUCUCCUGUGGAGGACAGAUUAACAGCCUGUUUCCUUGACUCUCCUGAAGGAGUAUAUGUAUCCACAUUACCUAGGGGGAGGGUGGGAACCUCAGGAUGGUUGCAUUAUGAUGUGUAACUCCGUUCUUUCCCCUGGGCUCUGGGGGAAAAAAAGAAAAGAAUAAUUGACUUCAGAAACACUAGCCUUGAUUUCUUUUAAUUAGGAAUACUGGGACGCUGCCAGGAUUAGACUCAAAGGUUACAUGUCACACACAACUUACAGUUCAGACACACUGACAGAAGGGAGGGCUGAGUCGGUCUAAGUUCUUGCAGGGUGUAGUGUAUAUUUCUAGUUAAAGAAAUGAAGGUGAUUGUCUCUGAGUCACUGAUUCUUUUAUUCCAAGCUGGUUGUUGGUGCCAGACGGGCCGGUCUGAGUAUUUAACAAUCUGCUCAGUUACUGGGAUUUUCACGCACAACCAUUUCUAGGGUUUACAAAGAAUGGUGUGAAAAGGUGUGGAAAAACAUCCAGUAUGCGGCAGUCCUGUGGGCGAAAAUGCCUUGUUGAUGCUAGAGGUCAGAGGAGAAUGGGCCGACUGAUUCAAGCAGAUAGAAGAGCAACUUUGACUGAAAUAACCACUCGUUACAACUGAGGUAUGCAGCAAAGCAUUUGUGAAGCCACAACACGCACAACCUUGAGGCGGAUGGGCUACAACAGCAGAAGACCCAACCGGGUACCACUCAUCUCCACUACAAAUAGGAAAAAGAGGCUACAAUUUGCACGAGCUCACCAAAAUUGGACAGUUGAAGACUGGAACAAUGUUGCCUGGUCUGAUGAGUUUCGAUUUCUGUUGAGACAUUCAGAUAGUAGAGUCAGAAUUUGGCGUAAACAGAAUGAGAACAUGGAUCCAUCCUGCCUUGUUACCACUGUGCAGGCUGGUGGUGGUGGUGUAAUGGUGUGGGGGAUGUUUUCUUGGCACACUUUAGGCCCCUUAGUGCCAAUCGGGCAUCGUUUAAAUGCCACGGCCUACCUGAGCAUUGUUUCUUACCAUGUCCAUCCCUUAAAUGACCACCAUGUACCCAUCCUCUGAUGGCUACUUCCAGCAGGAUAAUGCACCAUGUCACAAAGCUCGAAUCAUUUCAAAUUGGUUUCUUGAACAUGACAAUGAGUUCACUGUACUGAAAUGGCCCCCACAGUCACCAGAUCUCAACCCAAUAGAGCAUGGGAUGUGGUGGAACGGGAGCUUCGUGCCCUGGAUGUGCAUCCCACAAAUCUCCAUCAACUGCAAGAUGCUAUCCUAUCAAUAUGGGCCAACAUUUCUAAAGAAUGCUUUCAGCACCUUGUUGAAUCAAUGCCACGUAGAAUUAAGGCAGUUCUGAAGGCGAAAGGGGGUCAAACACAGUAUUAGUAUGGUGUUCCUAAUAAUCCUUUAGGUGAGUGUAUGUUCUGGACUUUCAGUCAAGUUUACAUGAACUGCUCCACAGCAGUUUUUUGUUUUUGUUGCAUUCCUCUAAGCCCCCUUUCCCAUCUUGCUUAAGAAACAAAUCCAGUGUGUAAUAAUGUUUUUCGGCAAAGGAAACGCAUGAGUAAACUUUAUGCAUAGCCAAGUAACCUGGGGCAGAGACAUGGUCUUAUCUUUUGCUCUUGUCUGAGGCUGGUGGGGUAAAAAAGUGUUACUGUUUAGGGUGGAGUUGGAAACCAAUGGUAUACAAGGUUUUGGGGCGGGGGUUCCAGCUUAAAAAAAGACCAGCUUUGGCGUGGUCUAUAGACUGUUGUCAUACAGGCAGUGAUUUACCUGUACAAUGUAAGCACAAGUCAGUACACAAUCACUGACUAGCCUAAUACAGCAGCAUGCGUACAACAAAUACUUAUUCAAGCUAAUAUGUGUGCAUCCUCUGUUUGUUGGCUGUGGUUGCAUAGAAAAUCCAUCACCCUCACUUUGUGUCUGAGUGGAAGCAGAGCACUGAGCUGUCCAAGAUGGCUCGGCCUCUUAUGGAGAUGGCUCAAAUACUGGAGAACAAGGAAGGAACCGGGGACGUGCAGGUCUGCAUAUGUUUCUUUAUGUUUGGCGUAUGUCUGUGUGUGUGUCUGGGUGAAAAUGUCCUCUGUCCUGUCCUGUUAGGUGCUGAGGUUGGAUGCUGCUAUGUUUGAGGAGGUCACAGCCCACAGUGAGAGUGAUGUUCUCAUCCUGUUGCGUGCUAUCAAGACCGAACAAAAGCGGACGGUGACCCAGGGCCAAUCGGAGGAGGCUUUAGCCGGUUCUGAGUGUUCACUCGUCCCGUCACAGAGAACUGUGAUAUCCCCCGGGAGGCUCCCGGUCCAGCUGGAGAAGGCUGCUGUCCAAAUUGACAGCCAGAGGGGAGGGUUUGUCCACAGAAGCAACCCCCUGCUUGGUGCUUCAGUAAAGCGUCCUGCAUCAGCCUUACCAUGGCCGCACGACAACGGUCUUUCCCUGAUCCAUGAUGACGUCACAGACGGAGGUCAGGUGUUACCGGGCGGGUCUGUGGGGGAGGGGUUUGGACAAGACGGAGUUCCUGCGAAGCUUAUUCGUUGUGAGCCGGUGUUCAAGGUGAGUCUGCCUUUGACUGAUGGCCCCCUGCUGCUGGAGAGGAAUUCCUUUAGCCUGGAACCCUCCCCCGCCUCCCCCGCCUCCCCCAUACACUCACCCGUUCACUCAACCAGCGUAGGUGCCUCGCCCCAGCCCCCUUCCACAUCCUUGCAUUCAGUUGGUCAGCCAAGAAACAGAGCUGCAACGGGACCUGGAAACACACAGAUAGUUGAAUAUAAACGCACUGUCAAUGCCAGAGUCGACACAGCCAGACACAAUCAACAGCUGACUAGGGGAGAGGAACAGAGGGCAACUGACCACGGCCUGUACAUCGGGAGAGAUCAGGACAGAGCUGACCGUCUGUUUUCAAAGAAUACCAGAUUCACCGAUACAAAGUUCGGUGUCCGCGUGAUACAGGACCACAGACUGCGCAGUACUGACCCUGGUGCUGGAGAUACGAUCGCUGACUUAGUGUCUGCUGCCCAACCGAUUUUCCUUACUACUGGUCAUCACUCGGGUUGUGUGGAAGAGGAGAGCUUGACCAACAGUCCUCCAAUGGAUGAAGAACAGGAGGAAGUGAAAGGGAAUAUUUGUCAUUCUGCUAGGGGACAGAGGCUUGCAGAGGACCACAGGACAACAGACUGUCUGUAUUCUACUGGAGAGAGGAUAGCUGACAGUGGGUAUUCCACAGGAAGCAAGUCAAUUGACAGAAUGUACCAAACAGUAGAAAGAUCAACUGACAGUCAGUUCUUUAUAGCAGAAGCGACGUCUGAUCGUGGGUACUCAACUGGAGUGGCGCUUACUGAACGGGGGUACUCAGGAGUGGGGCUAACUGAACGGGGGUACUCUACAGGAGUGGGCCUAACUGAACGGGGGUACUCAGGAGUGGGGCUAACUGAACGUGGGUACUCUUCAGGAGAGGGGCUAACUGAACGGGGGUACUCAGGAGUGGGGCUAACUGAACGGGGGUACUCAGGAGUGGGGCUAACUGAACGGGGGUACUCUUCAGGAGAGGGGCUAACUGAACGGGGGUACUCUUCAGGAGAGGGGCUAACUGAACGGGGGUACUCAGGAGUGGGGCUAACUGAACGUGGGUACUCUUCAGGAGAGGGGCUAACUGAAUGGGGGUACUCUUCAAGAGAGGGGCUAACUGAACGGGGGUACUCUUCAGGAGUGGGGCUAACUGACUGUGAGGUUUUAGAGGAAGAAAAGGGUUUCAGAGAUGAAAUGCAGAAAGGAUGUGGACUUAUUGUAGAGGUCAUGGUGGGGAACCAUAGACGGGGAAGAAAAAGUGAAAAGAAAAAAAGAAAGAGGGAGAAAUCGAACUUUUACAGAAAACAGUACUUUAAAUUGCAGCCUCCAAAACUGCACCAGGCACAGGGUUUCACAGGAGCUCAUAACGGUGCCUCAGGGCUUUGCAUGGUUGACACAGUAGAUCUCCAACAUGGCAUAGCCACCUAUAGAGACCAGACAGAGCCAGUCUACCACAGAGCAGACAUGAGCAGUCAUAAUGAUGUCAUAAGUAGACCUAUGAGUGACCUAGCAGCAAUGUCACAGGUACACUUGGAGUGCAGAAGAUCCUGGCACUAUGAAGGCACACAGCUGACCGCUGAUACUUACAGAACCGGGCCAUGUGAGUAUGAGACCCACCCUAAUCACUCUAACCCUGACCGGUUCAGACCCGAGCCCCUCCGGUACCCGCAUCAUGCUCUGGCCCCAGGGACUAGACCCCAUCUUGACUCUGGUCCUUUCCCCGUGAAGAUUGGGGGCGUUCAGACACCAGGUUAUGAUGGGUUUCCCCGGGCCCUGUCUGUGACGGCUUCUUCACCCCGCCACCCUUGGCCCUGUGAAGUGGAAGGUUAUGGCCCGGCCCCGUCUGACCCAUACCCGCUCCCGAGCCAUGAUCGUUACAGAGAGGUGGCCCGGGGCCACGGGCCUGCCACGUUUCAGUGGACUUUUUCAGCACCACCCCGGUUCUAGCUACCACACGUGUUUUGUAUUUCAUUUACACUAGUCGUUCUCCGACCACUCCUCAGGACGCCCAGAUGUCUCGCAAUUCCUUUUUAACGCUGAACUAGGGACUAGUUGAAAAAUGCAAACUGGUCAAAACUGUAACAUUUGCUGAACAUUUACAUUGCUGUGCAAUGUGCAUGAAAAGUAAAUGAUGAUAAUUAACUAGCUAACCUGAAUUAUAUAGCUGAUAAUGAGUUUACAGAGGUGGCCUGCAGUACGUCAAAUACGUGGAAUGGCUGGGGUGCCCAGGAAACGUUUGAAAACCACUCCUUAAGUUUCACUUUAUGUUGGUUAAAAUGGGCAGGUGUUUUGUGUGUUUGUUUUAUACACUGGAUUUCACCCUGUAAAUGUGAUUUGGAUUUCAUGCCUUCUUGAUUCUUUUAGCUUUUCUGUGUGGGAACGUAUUUUUGUAUGCCGAAUGAAGAUGGAGUUAUAAAAAAAGCAUUGAAUAGUGCCUCAGUAUUUGUCUGUUGUUAAGCCUAUGUGAGCACAUUCUUAGUUUGACAUGCUGUUUAAAGAAUAUGAUACAGAAUAUGCUACGGAGCUGAUCUAUGUUGAAAUUCAGCAAUUUUGCUAAAAUGUUAAAAGGUAAUUGAGGAGAAAUGUUAUUGGGUCUAUUCUAUAGGUUGAAUAUUGAUCUUUCUUGAAGUCCUGAGGGAAGCUUCACCAUGUACAUACAUUUUUAAUUUGGAUCAGCUGAGGAAUCAGCUUGAGGUUCAGUGUGUUGAACAUGUUAUGGACAACACAGGUUUUUUAACUUUCAUUUUCUUACCAAGUAACUUGUCUAUGAGGUUAUAUUAUAUUCAGCAAACAUCCAUGUUGAGCAAUUUCAUAUGGUUAAUUUGCUCAUGUGAAGAUUUUUUCUUUGUAAUUUACAAGUUCCGCACCACCCUGUAAAGUGAUUUGAGGAUUUAUUCUUGUUUGUUUUUUUGUCACUUGUGUGUUGUCACUUGGCCUGUUCUCAAUUGUUCUCCUUACCUCGCCUCCUGAAAACCAGUUUGUAGAGAAGGGCAGGACAUAUGACUUCUCAGCCAGAUGGGGUGCAGAGGCUAUUGUUAAAUAGCAGUUGACCAAACUAAAGCUUCUCACCGCCCAAUAUAUGUUUGUGAAGAACACACUGAAUUGAAGUAAAAUUUUCUAGCAGUUCCUAAUAAAGACUUGAAUAACACCUUUCAUGUAGUAAAUUGUUUUUUAUUUUACUUCAUUCAGUUUCAGGUAAUGUAUUGAAGCUUCUCAUUUCAUUGUCUACCUUUGUGUUGCUGCUGCAUUUGAGCCUAUUUGCUAAUGAAGUCAGUAUUAUCAUUGUCUUGCUUCCUCUAAUUCAAUGAUUCUCUACUGGAUUUAUAUAAACAAGCCACCUUUC